GACGAACGCUGGCGGCGUGCUUAACACAUGCAAGUCGAACGAAAAUGCUCUAUCAUUGUGGGCUUGCACUGACGGGUAAAGAGUUGAGUGGCGAAAGGGUGAGUACCUCGUCGGUAAUCUGCCCUAAAGAGAGGGAUAACACUCGGAAACAGGUGCUACUACCGCAUACGCAUGGUUGGUGCGUGGUAGCUAUGGUAAAGGUGGCGGUAGUACCGCCGUUGGAUGGGCUCGUGGCGGCUUAGCUGGUUUGUAGGGUAAAGGCGUACUAAGGCGGUGAUGAGUAGCCGAAGUGAUAGGAGGAUCGGCGGCAUUGGGACUGAGACGCGGCCCAAACUCCUACGAGAGGCAGCAGUAGGGAAUCUUCCACAACAGGCGGAAGCAUGAUGGAGCAGCGCCGCGUGGGUGGAGAAGGUGUUCGGAGCGUAAAGACCUGUUGUUGGAGGAGAAAGUGCGUGGGAGUAACUGUUGACGGUUUGACGGUAUCUAGCCAAAAAGCCACGGCUAACUACGUG
rnacentral:rRNA from 1 species